UACGGAGGGUGCGAGCGUUAAUCGGAAUUACUGGGCGUAAAGCGCACGCAGGCGGUUUGUUAAGCUAGAUGUGAAAGCCCCGGGCUCAACCUGGGAUGGUCAUUUAGAACUGGCAGACUAGAAUCUUGGAGAGGGGAGUGGAAUUCCAGGUGUAGCGGUGAAAUGCGUAGAUAUCUGGAGGAACAUCAGUGGCGAAGGCGACUCCCUGGCCAAAGACUGACGCUCAUGUGCGAAAGUGUGGGUAGCGAACAGG
rnacentral:rRNA from 1 species